UACGUAGGGGGCAAGCGUUGUCCGGAAUUAUUGGGCGUAAAGAGCGCGUAGGCGGUCCGAUAAGUCGGCUGUGAAAGUCAGGGGCUCAACCCUUGGAAGCCGGCCGAUACUGUCGGACUAGAGUCCGGAAGAGGCGAGUGGAAUUCCCGGUGUAGCGGUGAAAUGCGCAGAUAUCGGGAGGAACACCAAGGCGAAGGCAGCUCGCUGGGGACGGUACUGGACGCUGAGGGCGCGAAAAGCGUGGGGGAGCAAACAGGG
rnacentral:rRNA from 1 species